rnacentral:rRNA from 1 species
UACGUAGGGUGCAAGCGUUGUCCGGAAUUAUUGGGCGUAAAGAGCGUGUAGGCGGCCAAGCAGGUCCGCUGUGAAAACUCGAGGCUCAACCUCGAGACGUCGGUGGAAACCGUUUGGCUAGAGUCCGGAAGAGGAGAGUGGAAUUCCCGGUGUAGCGGUGAAAUGCGCAGAUAUCGGGAAGAACACCCGUGGCGAAGGCGGCUCUCUGGGACGGUACUGACGCUGAGACGCGAAAGCGUGGGGAGCGAACGAGG